rnacentral:rRNA from 1 species
UGGGGAAUAUUGCACAAUGGGGGAAACCCUGAUGCAGCGACGCCGCGUGAGCGAAGAAGGUUUUCGAAUCGUAAAGCUCUGUCCUAUGGGAAGAUAAUGACGGUACCAUAGGAGGAAGCCCCGGCUAACUACGUGCCAGCAGCCGCGGUAAUACGUAGGGGGCAAGCGUUGUCCGGAAUCACUGGGCGUAAAGGGUUCGCAGGCGGAAAUGCAAGUCAGUUGUGAAAGGCAGAGGCUCAACCUCUGUAAGCAUCUGAAACUGUAUAGCUUGAGAAGUGUAGAGGCAAGUGGAAUUUUUAGUGUAGCGGUGAAAUGCGUAGAUAUUAAAAAGAAUACCGGUGGCGAAGGCGACUUGCUGGGCACAAUCUGACGCUGAGGAACGAAAGCGUGGGGAGCAAACAGG